GUGAGGAAUAUUGCGCAAUGGAGGCAACUCUGACGCAGCCAUGCCGCGUGCAGGAAGAAGGCGCUACGCGUUGUAAACUGCUUUUAACCGGGAAGAAACCCCAGGACGUGUCCUGGGUUGACGGUACCGGAGGAAUAAGCACCGGCUAACUUCGUGCCAGCAGCCGCGGUAAUACGAAGGGUGCAAGCGUUAUCCGGUUUCAUUGGGUUGAAAGGGUGCGUAGGCGGAGCGUUAAGUCAGUGGUGAAAUCCUGCAGCUUAACUGUAGACUUGCCAUUGAUACUGGCGCUCUUGAGUGCGCUUGAAGUGGGCGGAAUGUGCCGUGUAGCGGUGAAAUGCUUAGAUAUGGCACAGAACACCAAUUGCGAAGGCAACUCACUAAGGCGAUACUGACGCUGAGGCACGAAAGCGUGGGGAUCGAACAGGAUUAGAAACCCGAGUAGUCC
rnacentral:rRNA from 1 species